rnacentral:tRNA from 1 species
UUAAUUUUUUAAAUUAAAAUUAAAUUCGAAUUAAUUAAAAACUUUAACUAAUUUAAU